CAGUAGCCACGGUAAAACGUAGGCGGCAAGCGUUGUCCGGAAUUAUUGGGCGUAAAGGGCUCGCAGGCGGUUUCUUAAGUCUGAUGUGAAAGCCCCCGGCUCAACCGGGGAGGGUCAUUGGAAACUGGGAAACUUGAGUGCAGAAGAGGAGAGUGGAAUUCCACGUGUAGCGGUGAAAUGCGUAGAGAUGUGGAGGAACACCAGUGGCGAAGGCGACUCUCUGGUCUGUAACUGACGCUGAGGAGCGAAAGCGUGGGGAGCGAACAGGAUUAGAUACCCCCGUAGUCCCUGUCUCUUAUAC
rnacentral:rRNA from 1 species